UUACCUUAAAAAAGGAUAUCCACUGGUAUUUGGUCUACCGCUUCGCACUUCCCCUGUGGCCAGUCUCGAUUCAGGCAUCUACAAUCAAAGUCUAGCAAAAUAAGGUGCAAUUUUGCUAUUCAGGAGUUUAAGUUUUGUGGCUUUGCCACUGAUAGCUUUUUAGAUUUAGUUUAGUUGCUAUGUAGGUUUUGAGACACAAUAUUCAGUAGACUAAUAGACGUACAUGCUGGUUUUUUCCUUUUCUGUGGAUAAUUGUGUGUCCAGUGAUAGAUUACUUUGCAUAUGAAUGGAAUUUCCAUAUUUUUUUUUAUUUAUUUUUUUGCAGCUGCAUAGUGGGCAAAUUUGCCCUUUAUCUAGUUGUCACACAUGUAUCACUGUUGUUGCUUCAAUCUCCCUUGUCCAAACAGAAAUUAUCAGAUAUUAAGCAAAGAGAUGCAGCUAUCAUCUUGGUUGAUAAGAACAUGAUUAUGAGAAACAAGCAAGGGGAGGCUUUCGAAAAUCGAUGAUGGUUACUCUAAAGGUCCUGAAGAUUUAGGGAAACAUAAUGGAAAAGGGAAAAACUAAUAUGCCACUUGUGACUUAUUAGUAUUAUCACUACCCCUCUUUUAUAUGUGCUUUUUUGCUUUUUUUUCCCCAUUCCAUAUGUGCUUUCUUUAUUUACUAAAUGCUUCUUUCUUUUCUCUGUAGGUACCAAAAGCUAGUUGCUGUCUCUAAUGGUUAAAUAUCCUUAAAGUGAGCUUGGUGGGACUUUGGUCAGAAAAAUUAAGCAGAUGAUGGUACAGACAUUCUCUUAGCUAUCAUCUUAGAUCUCCUUAAUUUCCUCUGCAUAAAUGGGUGCAAGGUCUGAGCUAUCAAUCUGCUUCUUCAUCAGUUGUUAUUGACCUGGAAUGAGCUAGAUGUUUGUGGUAUUAUCAAAUUGUUAUGACUCCCCUGUCGUGGAGAUGAAGAUUUGCCAUGGGCUACUUUCGCACAAUUUAUUGAGGCAUAUUUAGAGUGCUCUUCCU